rnacentral:tRNA from 1 species
GGUGUAAUGGUUUGAGUACUAGACUACAACUCUCGGGAUCAGGGUUCGAUUCCCUGCUUCACCA